GCAGAGAUUCUUUCACUCAGUUGUUCAAGCUGUGAUUCCGGUGGAGAAAGACGAAGGUGGGGCAUGGUUUGUUGACACAGAAAAUUGUUCCUACCUUCUGAACACUGGGAUCCAUUCCAUCUUUCCACAGAUUAUGUACAACUCUCCCAACAACUGAAACAUGGGGAGGACUGUCCCGGACCCAGCAUAUAAGUUCAAUUACAUAGAAAGCACAACAGUGUCUCCACUUCCUUAGGAGUUUGUGAAGAUUUUGCAUGACAUCCAAAAUGUUGCCAAACUUCUAUAGAUGUGUGGUGGAGAGUAUAUCGACCGGCUGCAUUACAAUGCCCUUGAACGGAAAAUCCUGCAAAAAGUAGCGGAUACGGCCCAGUCCAUCACGGGUCCAGUUCUGGAUGAAUUUGUCAGCUCAGGCACCAGCGGAGCAGAAUCGGACUGUGCUUGAUGGUGCAAAGUAUGUGUAACACCCCGGGAAAGGUUUCACUGCUUACGUAAUGGUCUUUCUGUAGAAGCAGUGUUUGGGUUAUGGGUGCUUUGGAAUGGGAGCUGGGUCCUUUGUUCGGCGGGAGAUGAUGAGGGAAGACGCUGGAGAGAACCAGUUGUAGAAUUCGACCCGGUGGGGGACCGUGAUUCAACAGAGCCAGGUGCCGAGAUCGACUGAUCGGUGAAUAUGAGUUUUGGGAAGAGUUGAGCCCCAGCUUGUGCACAUUUGACUGUUUAAUUAUAAUAGACCCUUUUGUUUUUUUUCUUUACUAAC